CGCCAUUAUUGCGAAUUUUUACGAAAGCCAGAUUGUGACAAGGUAAGGUUCUAUUUCUUUUUCUUCUUUUGGACCAGGUUUUUCAUAAAAAUUUUUCUCAUUUCAUCCUUAUCAAAUCCAACAGUCGAAUGUUUAAUAAUGAAUGCAGGUGUUGUAAAUGUAAAAAGCGAAAGUCCCAGAGUUUAUCCAAUCCACGUGGUUUGAUACUGCGACGGCAAUUUUGAAGGAAAAUGUCUGUUUGACAAACUAUUUUGUCACGUUUGUCUAAUUAGUUAUUAGUAGACUUGAAUGAAUUUUUAAAGAAACUUGUCAGGCAUACAAAGUACGUGUUCUCUUCUUUAGAAGUUAUUCGAAAUCGAUGAAAAUUUCCAAAUGAUACAGCCUACAAAGUUGACAAGAUAAAAAUUCAACCGCUGACAUCAAUGUAUUUUUCCUCUUCCUUCCACAACUACGUUGCUUUUAGCGAGACCCGUAAAUGUAUUCAGUGACGGUGUUCAAUUCAAUGCUUCAUUCAAGGUAAACCUUUUUUUUUUCUUAAUUCUUGGAAAUUAUGUGUUUCAUGUAGAAUUUAAACAUUUUGUGCAUUAGACUAGUGAAAUAUUAGUAGGGUUUCUGAGAUGACAACAUGCAAGGAUGACUAUUUUUAUUCGAUGUGGAUAUUAAUAAUAUUCCGUGUCAUCCAAUUGGAUAGCAUUUGCUCUUUUGUUUUGCAGCCUUGCUACGAUAUUUUCCAGCAACUUCGUGUUGGUAUUUAAAGGGCGUGGAUGAUUGCUGGGUGCUUUCCCAUAAGCUGAAUGUUUGUUUUCUUUAGAUACCAUUGACCUCUUUCGACCGCAACCUGAAAAAACAUUUGCAAUUUAUUUCUGUACUAAUGAACAAUCAAGUAUGCCAGUGACGCUGAAGUCUCUGACAUAGGACAAAUAAGAAUAUUUCUGUAAACAAGACCAAGUACGGUUACAGACGGCAGCAGAUGGCAAAGGUAAAGGUUUGCAUAAUUUUUUUUACAUUAAGGAACAUGCUAUUGUAAUUUAUUGUGCCAUACCUGCAAAAGCAUUGCAAAAUGGUCUUUUUUCUUUGUAUGACCAUUGUUCCACAUCUUCUAUCGAAUCAGAAUCAUUCUGGUUUGCCGUUAGUGGCUGCGACAAUGAAUUUGAAACGUAAAGACUGAUGACCAACCAGGCCAGUACUACCAAGCUGUAGAACAGCGGUCUCGUCAUACCUGCUACAGACAUUCUACUGAUUAUUUUAGAAAUGACAUAUGGUAUACAGUACAUGCUACAGCCAUGGGAAAGUUCGUUAAUUUCAAAGAAGGAAACGUUCUUCGUUAAUUUAACCUAUGACCAUUUGCUAAUAUUGAUCGCCGAUGACGGGAAACACGGCGUAAUGCUCUUAACGAGAAACAGUUUUUCACAAGGUAUAUUAUCUUGCAUAACUUACCUGAUUCGAAGUUGACUGAUUACAAAAAGGAGAAAUAGGAUAUGAGCUGAAAUCUGGAUUCGUUCACUUUCAAAAUCAGAAUUUCCAUCCAAAUUGCUAGAAAAUGUGUUGGACUCAGUACGGGAAGUAGUUGGUGACGAAAGUCUUGCUUCGUGAAUAACCUUAUAAGAGGUAUUAGAACAGUUUUUAUAUGUGUUCGAGGCUCCGCCCUGCCUAGCCGGUUCCCUACUCUUCUACCAAAUGCCAAUGCUCUUCUUUCUGCAACAUCACAUUUCAACAAUCAUUUUUGUGCAUUCACAUGCCGAGCAACGAGGAGAGUGACAGAAAAAUUUCCAGAUUAAUUUUUAAGCUUUAAGUUCUGGCAGCUGAUAACCAAAUUAUCGAAUUAAGAAUUAUUAUCGUCUGGUUCAAUCCUCCUUUUGAUGCUUAGGUUACUUUGUGCACACCAAACUAUUGUUUGGAUGUGAUCCAUACUUCUUUUAAUGUUACUUGGGGAACGGUUGUUUUCAAAAGGACUUCAUUCAGUUCCAAAUUUUCCAUCCGCUGAUCGAGAUAACGAAUAUGAUUCGAAUCAGGUUUUUGUACAAUAAAGAGGCUGUCGAAUUUUCAUCGACAAUCGGCACAUGAGCGGAUGAGCCAAAGUUUAGUUCGAUUUCACAAAAUUAAGGAUAUACUUCUUUACGCCUCAUCCCGACCCAACGUUCUCACAUAAAUUUUUCUCUCAUUUAACUAUACACAUUUCUUAGCCUUAAAAAAAAAGCGACACAUACGUUGCUGUUAGAACAACACAAACGUUCUUGUUCUAACAAAGCAAUAGCAAACCUCUUACUUAGAAAUCCAUUACUUAAUAAUCAGCAGGGUUCCUCUCUCACCCAAAACCUCUGUAGUGGGGCUGCGCGUAACGUUAUGACCACUUUAGCGUUAAACUGAUGCACUAAUAACACCCGUCGCGGGAUAUCCAUUUCUUCCAUUUACUACUUGUGCAUUUUCCCUGAUGAUGUGUAGUCCAAUGACAUGCUGGGGAGCAUAAUGAGCAGUAGCUUCUACUGUAGACCGUUAUGGUGGCGUACGUAAACCAGACAUGGGAGUUUGAUUACUGAUUGUAAUAAAAACAAUGCUGAUAAAAAAAAAUGUAAAUGCUUCCGAUUCUUACUACUACAAAAACAAGGGCGAAUAUGAUCCAAUAGUGAUGAAAACUACUUUUCCUCCCUGUAAUGUUAGAAAGGAUAAAGAUAGACGUUUAGGAAUUUCCGAUAGGGAUUCUUGCAAAACUACAUGUCUCACUAGUUUCCCGAUAGGGAUUCUUGCAAAACGGAAUUCCUCCUCAUUUCAUCUCAACCAACCCACGUUUUUUCUAAGAUUUUUCCCGAUAGAUGGCGCCAUUUUCGAAAAGGGUACUCCAUUAAUCUUUUAUAUCUUAUCUUCCCAAGUUAGAACGUGGUUAUUGUAUCGUCUUGUAAAGCAGAUAUCGCUGAAGUUAAUGACGAGUACCCCGUAAUUUUAGGCUGAACGGUGAGAGAUUGCCGAGCAAUUUAGAAGGCCGACCCGAGUUUUGGAUAUAUAAUUUUUUACGAUAGAUGGCGUUGAGACGAAAAAUUACGAAAACAAGGCGAAAUCAGGCCGCGAACUUACUAUUGAAGGCCGGGCUUCCGGAGUCGCCUAGCAACAGACUUCAUUUCGUUUAGGUUAGGUCGUUGUGUUUGUGUUUCGUUAAUCCCGUUGCUUUGCCGCGUGUGGAACUUAUUCAUCGCUUUGGUGUUGAGCGGGGAGCUAUUAAUGUUAUUCUGGGGCAUAUUCAACUGAAUGGCUUUGUUGGAGAGGUGUUAAGUGGGGUGCUAAUAAAUAUUCAGUGCGUUCCGUUUUCAACAUCUUUUGGCUACGCGUUACUCGUUAAGUUAAUACAAUGAAAAUUUGCCAUUUUUUCGUACCAACCUGAACGACAAUCUUUUUCACGACGCACGAUUGUUUGAAGAUUGAUUUUCACUAUACGUCAUCAUUUGAAUGGUGCAGUUUCUAGCCGCAGCUCUGCAGUGUGCAAAAAUUGGAGGUGGCAAAAAUCUGCUUGUGGUGCUGAUCUGCAAAUUGCUGGCUUCAUGAAAGUAAUCUUGAAAUGACCUAUCAACAGACUACUGCAGUAUUAAAAUACUCUAACCCUCAAGGAAAUUUGCAGCUGUGGACUUUCUUUAGAUGACUCUUGUAUCAGAAAUAUUUUCCUUCUUUUUGGAACAAGUAACAUAGGAUGUCUUGAUGCCAACAAAGUGUGAUUGGAAAGAUUGUAAAAAGAUAUUAAGGAGAAACCUAAAGUUGGAGGACGAUACAUUUGUUUCCCAUUACUAGUUUUGUAAAACAAAUGAUUGAUUCCACAAUCUGCAACUUCUCAGGCAGACACCCAUCCACAAAGCCAUGGGCAAUCCAUACAGGGUAACGACUCGUCGUGAGUGCAGACCAUCCAUAUUGAUAACGGUUUCCUGCGUAAAGAUGAAUCCGUGUAGGUCGUCAAUAGUAUACAGCCAUACGGGAUCAUUUACGCCGAACAACUGUUCAUGGAAGAUGAUUUCGGUGAGACGCAAGUGCUGAUCGUUUGGUGGUCGAUUACGCCAACAUGGCAGCCAAGGAACAUGCCUUGCUCAAUCGGAUUGAAAUCGCGAUGUCGGAAGAAGAGCGUCUUCUUCUGGAAGAACUGUCCAUUCGCAACCAUUAUGUUGCCACGCUACUGCCUAUUCGCAUUGUCGGUGUUCAGGGAGAUGGAGAUUGCCGAACUUAUAUUCCUGGCACCUAUUUACCUGAAGAGGUUGUAGACAAGAUGGUUGAAGCCGUCUUAACUGUUCCAGGUACCUGACGGCGAAACCACUCCGGGAGAACGGAGUGGGAAUGAUUUGAUUUACGAACGUUGAGUGCAGUUGUUUUUCGUCUAACAAAUUAACAUUGUUAAUGUGCAGCUAGAUGGGUUGUUGUUGCUCUCCCUUGUAAAUCUACCCUUUUUCGCCCAAUUGUUAAUAUGAUUCUUUUGGGAACGUUCCGGUGUCUCCCAAAAACAAGUGGAAGACCAUUCGAGGCGUUAUGCCAUUUCCUGAAAUUGAACAUUUAGAAAAUGUGGUAUAUGUUUGCCAAUUGUUUAGAUCUAUUCAGAGUGGUACCAUAAAGUAUGACUGUAGGAAAGGGUACAUAGGCUUCUAAAAGUGAAGAACAGCUCUGACGUCUUUGGUAAGCGGAAAAGGUACUGCAAAGAGAAGCGUCACAUGACGAUUUUAAGGAUGGACCCUUUCGUUUGCUUUGCCUAAUGAAUUUAUGCUUGGAACUGACAGGUGGCGUUUAGCAGUGGCACCCAAUCUUUGUUCUUAAAAGCCAGAGGUGUUCUUCACGUUUCAGGGGGAUUGAUUGAUGAUACUUGUUGGUUAAACCAUGAAGAAUACCAAUAGAUGGAUAAGUGGAGGGUGAGCAGACGAACCAUUGAAAGAGUCCUGCACAGUCUAGCUGCAUCCAGGCAGAUACUAGUAGAACCCGAAACAUUGUUUUGACAACUUCUGUCAUUUUUCGGUUGCAGGUUUUCACUAAAUAUUAAUUAAGUAAGGGGUUUAAUCGUGUUAUAUGUAGGAUUUUUCGAUUCAAGUCUAUUUAGGUGUCAGAACUGGAAUUGUAAGUUCAGAAUUUUUAAAACACCGCACAGCUUUUAUUAACAAUAUUUUGUUUUUUCAACUAUCAAAAUCUUGUAAAUCAUUUAAAGGAGAACAGAGCUCUUUGUUAAAUUUCCGAAAUUUCGACUUCCGGUUUUGCUUCCGGUUUUAAAAUGUUAAAUAACUCUUUAUUUGUUGGUUUGUCAGAAAAAAGAUUUACAUUUUCGUGAUACUCAUCAAAUUUGGGGUAGACUCCAUGUGUCAGCUUAAAAUACCCGAAAAUCGUCAAAAAUCGCAAAUUUUUCUGAACAUGAAAAAUCGCGUUUUUGGUCAAAUCCGACUUUUGGCUAAAAACACGUCAUUCCGACCCCAAAUUUGAUAAUAAUCACGAAAAUCCUAUUCGUUUUGUUAUAGGAGCCCUAUUUCCGGAGAUAUUUGAUACUCCCUGUUACUUCCGGUAAAUUUUCGUGACAAUCUGCGAAAAGUAAAAAAUUUGCUGUAUUGUUCUAACAAUUUCAAAUACUUUUCUCGCAUGCGUUAGGGUGUGGUAGCUAUUAUUCCGUGUUUUUCUUGCUUUCAACACUACAGACUGAUCCUACCAGCUACGACAAGUUUUACCUACAAAUUUUUUGCGUUUCAUGCUGCAACUAGUAGUUGAUAUCCUAGGAUGUUAUGCCUAAAAUUGGAAUUCAGCUAUCAGAGAUUUGCAAAAGCAAAGCACUUAACAGCAAAUAUUGUACUUAUUUCAACAUUCAAAAUAAAAUAAAAUUUUGUGUUCUAGGCAGAAACUCUAGAUGGCGUUAAUGUGUGUAUGAUGAAGAUUACGAGUGACAAGUUAAAUUGUCUGUUUUGUGUUUCAAAGGAUUUUUCAUAAAAAAAUUUCAGAUUGCUUUUUGUAUGUGGUGGUGUUUCACCUUGACAGCUGCCGAACCAGCAGGCAGCAGCCUACAUUCCUGUCAUCAAUGUACCACAAGGGAUUCUGACACUUUAAGAAGGCUACUAUUCCUCACAUGAAGAUCGCCAUCCAGUUCAAGUACUGUUAAUGGACCUCAAGCCUUUUGUUUAAGCUUAGUGAUGUGUUCUUUCAUCAGUCAACCACAGAGUCUUCAUCUACUUUGUGUUGCUAAUCAUCAGCCCUCAGCAUCACAGAAGAUUGUCAUUGCUAGUCCUGCUGUUCUUCUCUCCGUUACUUAGCCAGCUAACAUGGAUAGGCUUUAACACCAACUCCAUUUUUUUGGAUUGCAAAUGUUCAUCUUCCUUCGGUAUAACACUGUCGUUUCGACACUUUUUGUAGUUUCGCCCCCAGUGGACCACGCAACUACAUUUUCUUCAUCUUCCUUUCGUUGUCUACGCCUUCACCUCAUCGCUGUCUUCGUCGACGUCUUCACCUUCAUCUCCGUCUCCUCGUCGUCUUGGCCGUCUUCGCCUUCAUCUCCGUCUCGUCGUCGUCUUGGCCGUCUUCGCCUUCAUCUCCGUCUCGUCGUCGUCUUGGCCGUCUUCGCCUUCAUCUCUGUCUCGUCGUCGUCUUGGCCGUCUUCGCCGUCUUCGCCUUUAUGUCCGUCUCGUCGUCGUCUUGGCCGUCUUCGUCCACGCCAUCACCGUCCACGCCAUCACCGUCUUUGUCCACGCCAUCAUCUCGUCGCCGGCUUCGUCUUCGCCCUCUUCGCCCUUCACCUUCGCCCUUCACGUAGGGAGUUCAGCGUGGAUCGUCGCCAUGGUAUUGUUUUGUUUUGCAUUGUAAUGUUUAAGUUAACCCGUUGGCUGCCACCCCGUUUGCGUCCCAUUUUUUUUGUAGCUUGUAGGGACCGGCCGCAAUGGCCUUCGCCGCAAGGCGCCUUAG
rnacentral:sRNA from 1 species